UGGGGAUACCAUUUGGAAAACAGAUGCUAAUACCGGAUAAAAGCUACUUUCGCAUGAAAGAAGUUUAAAGGCGGGCGUAAAGCUGUCGACUAAAGGGAUGGGACCUGCGAUGCAUUAGCUAGUUGGUAAGGGUAACGGGCUUUACCGAAGGCGAUGAUGCAUAGCCCCGAGUUGAGAGACUGAUCGGGCCACAUUGGGGACUGAGACACGGGCCCAAAACUCCUACGGGGAGGCAGCAGUAGGGAAUCUUCCACAAUGGACGAAAGUCUGAUGGAGCAACGCCGCGUGAGUGAAGAAGGUUUUCGGAUCGUAAAAGCUCUGUUGUUGGUGAAGAAGGAUAGAGGUAGUAACUGGCCUUUAUUUGACGGUAAUCAACCAGAAGUCACGGCUAACUACGUGCCAGCAGCCGCGGUAAU
rnacentral:rRNA from 1 species